AUUGAACGCUGGCGGCAUGCCUUACACAUGCAAGUCGAACGGUAACAGGUCUUCGGAUGCUGACGAGUGGCGAACGGGUGAGUAAUACAUCGGAACGUGCCCGAGAGUGGGGGAUAACGAGGCGAAAGCUUUGCUAAUACCGCAUACGAUCUCAGGAUGAAAGCAGGGGACCGCAAGGCCUUGCGCUCACGGAGCGGCCGAUGGCAGAUUAGGUAGUUGGUGGGAUAAAAGCUUACCAAGCCGACGAUCUGUAGCUGGUCUGAGAGGACGACCAGCCACACUGGGACUGAGACACGGCCCAGACUCCUACGGGAGGCAGCAGUGGGGAACUUUGGACAAUGGGCGCAAGCCUGAUCCAGCCAUGCCGCGUGCAGGAUGAAGGCCUUCGGGUUGUAAACUGCUUUUGUACGGAACGAAAAGGCUCUGGUUAAUACCUGGGGUCCAUGACGGUACCGUAAGAAUAAGCACCGGCUAACUACGUGCCAGCAGCCGCGGUAACAC
rnacentral:rRNA from 1 species